rnacentral:rRNA from 1 species
AUGCGAGCGUUAUCCGGAGUUAUUGGGUUUAAAGGGAGCGUAGGUGGGAUAUUAAGUCAGCUGUGAAAGUUUGGGGCUCAACCUUAAAAUUGCAGUUGAUACUGGUUUUCUUGAGUACGGUAUAGGUGGGCGGAAUUCGUGGUGUAGCGGUGAAAUGCUUAGAUAUCACGAAGAACUCCUAUUGCGAAGGCAGCUCACUGGACCGGCACUGACACUGAUGCUCGAAAGUGCGGGUAUC